rnacentral:tRNA from 1 species
GAGGGGAUGGCCAAGUUGGUUAAGGCACAGGACUGGUACUCCUGAACCGCGGGAUCGUACCCCGCUCCCCUCU